rnacentral:rRNA from 1 species
UGGGGAAUAUUGGACAAUGGAGGCAACUCUGAUCCAGCAAUUCUGUGUGUGUGAAGAAGGUUUUAGGACUGUAAAACACUUUUAGUAGGGAAGAAAGAAAUGACGGUACCUACAGAAGAAGCGACGGCUAAAUACGUGCCAGCAGCCGCGGUAAUACGUAUGUCGCGAGCGUUAUCCGGAAUUAUUGGGCUUAAAGGGCAUCUAGGCGGUUAAACAAGUUGAAGGUGAAAACCUGUGGCUCAACCAUAGGCUUGCCUACAAAACUGUAUAACUAGAGUACUGGAAAGGUGGGUGGAACUACACGAGUAGAGGUGAAAUUCGUAGAUAUGUGUAGGAAUGCCGAAGAUGAAGAUAACUCACUGGACAGCAACUGACGCUGAAGUGCGAAAGCUAGGGGAGCAAAAAGG